rnacentral:rRNA from 1 species
AGUGAACGCUGGCGGUAGGCCUAACACAUGCAAGUCGAACGGCAGCACAGUAAGAGCUUGCUCUUACGGGUGGCGAGUGGCGGACGGGUGAGGAAUACAUCGGAAUCUACUUUUUCGUGGGGGAUAACGUAGGGAAACUUACGCUAAUACCGCAUACGACCUACGGGUGAAAGCAGGGGAUCUUCGGACCUUGCGCGAUUGAAUGAGCCGAUGUCGGAUUAGCUAGUUGGCGGGGUAAAGGCCCACCAAGGCGACGAUCCGUAGCUGGUCUGAGAGGAUGAUCAGCCACACUGGAUCUGAGACACGGUCCGGACUCCUACGGGAGGCAGCAGUGGGGAAUAUUGGACAAUGGGCGCAAGCCUGAUCCAGCCAUACCGCGUGGGUGAAGAAGGCCUUCGGGUUGUAAAGCCCUUUUGUUGGGAAAGAAAAGCAGCAGGUUAAUAACCCGCUGUUCUGACGGUACCCAAAGAAUAAGCACCGGCUAACUUCGUG